CUAUAAAUACAGGAUCUCUUCUAUUUCUCGUUCUGCGUCUCUUAUGUCCUAUCUAUGAGGUCUGGUCCAUCUAGGUCUUAAUCUUCGAAUUCUUUUCCAUGUCCAGGCGCAAUUUGCAACCGUUUUUUGUUUGGGAUCCCGAAGAGGAAUUAGGGUUCAGGCCGCUGGAUAUUUGUUCUACGUGGAUGUCUUGUUUUCGGGUUUGACGAUCUUCUUUUGGAUCCGAUGUGAAUGUUUUCCAAAGCUGAAAGAUCCCCAAGCACCUCUUUUCUGCAUAUUUGAAUCACAAAGUGAUGCAGCCAUAUACCAUGACACGGAAUUUUUUUUGUAUGGUAACGGUAGGAUGAGGAGGAAGGGCAAGAAAGAAAGAGGGUGAGAUGUGAAAAUUAUAAGUUAUGCACAUCGGAUGACAGUUGUCUCGUGUUGUUCUGAUAUGACCUUUGCCAUGUCAGGUGCGCUUGCAUGGCAGGUCAAAUAACCUAAUAAAAUUAUUCAGUUUUUUGGUUUUUCUGGGGGAUGGCACGGCGUAUGUCGCCGGCUCCCCCACUUGGUGUGUGUCGCCCAUCUCUCUCUAUCUCUUUUCCUUGUCCUGGCACGCCACCAUCAAUUGGCCAUUCUCACUUGGACUGAUUGGAUUUCGGUCCUACCUCCGAAUCUCCGAUCGAAUAACUUGUGUGGUUAAAUGCCGAGGCCUCUUCAUACUCAUCGUGAAUGGUGUCAUGCCAAGAAAGUAUAUAGGCCAAUGUUCUUCAUUAAUAUUUCAUAACAUCAUAUGAGCCAAUGUUCUUCGUAGUUUUUGGGCUAUAUCACGAAGAAAUGUUUAUUUGAUGGCAUUCUUACAACCACAAAUUCGUUCUCAGCAAAGUUACGGUUUCCAUAACACUGCCCAUUUAACACAAUUAACAUUUUCCCCCUCGAUGCAUUGUGAUUCAUUCCAUUGUUGGGCUUACAGAAUCGUUAUAAAUAUCAGUAAUAUACAAUUUUGCUGGUAUACUGGCGAGUAUGCAUUUAAAAUCUUGGACCAUUGUUAAAAAUCUUGGACCAUUGUUUGAAAUACUACUAUUUGUAGCUUCAAUCGCAAAGUUUUGGUGGUUGGUUUGGGUUUGGAUAGCUCCAUAUUUGAGUUUGUUGUAACAUUUGUUUCAGGGGCUGUUUGUUUUCAACAUAUCUUUAUAUCUUGUCAAAGAGGUUGUUCAUUAAAUAUUUUCUUGAGGAUAGCCAUUCCAGUUGGAGUUGCUUAAAAAAUUUUCAGAAUUCUGCUUGGAAUUUGUGUAUAUGGUUGUGUUUGUUUUACCGUCAAGACAAGAUGAGUUUCAAUGAAGAAAACUAGUGGUUCUCACAAUCAUGGUAAUUACUUCUAAAUUUAUUGUUACUUGAAUAUUUGGUCUGUUUAUUCUGGUUACUGUUUCAAUGCAGGCACAUGAGCUAUUUGUAAUGAUGGGUUUAGAUGCAUUCUAUAUGCUGCAGCAGCAGAUGGUCUAUUGUAAGUGUUUACAGUUGUUGUCAUGUGGUUUCUAAGUCGUUGGAUUAACAAUUCAGACUAAAGAUUGAAAUGACAUAAAUGGCCAUGAAGCAUGGUGUCAGCAAUUUAAUUUACAAA